rnacentral:rRNA from 1 species
UACGUAGGGUCCGAGCGUUGUCCGGAAUUAUUGGGCGUAAAGAGCUCGUAGGCGGUUUGUCGCGUCUGCUGUGAAAUCCCGAGGCUCAACCUCGGGCCUGCAGUGGGUACGGGCAGACUGGAGUGCGGUAGGGGAGAAUGGAAUUCCUGGUGUAGCGGUGGAAUGCGCAGAUAUCGGGAGGAACACCUGUGGCGAAGGCGGCCCCCUGGUUGGAUACUGACGCUGAGACGCGAAGGCGUGGGGAGCAAACAGG